AUGACCUCCAUGGCACCCAUGGCCGCCUGCUCGGGAGAUGGGGUCGCCAUGUUCGACGCCGCCAGCGCCUCGUGGACCUCAGCUCCAGGACUAGAUGGCAGUGUGGAUGUUGUGUAUGACAAGAAGAACGUAUGGGUCGUGUGCGUCGUCAUCGACCACCCAUCAUCGAGGACAGGGCCUCAUGUGGGACCUCGGGAGGAGGGGAGAACAAGGGCGUGCACAACAUUAGAGCCGAUGAAAUUCAUGUGCAUGGACUGCGUCCGGCCUGCCGUGGCCGACCGCUCCAUCCUGCUCCUCUAA
rnacentral:rRNA from 1 species